AUUGAACGCUGGCGGCAUGCCUUACACAUGCAAGUCGAACGGUAACAGGUCUUCGGAUGCUGACGAGUGGCGAACGGGUGAGUAAUACAUCGGAACGUGCCUGGUAGUGGGGAAUAACUACUCGAAAGAGUGGCUAAUACCGCCUGAGAUCUACGGAUGAAAGCAGGUGAUCGCGAGCCCUUGUGCUACUAGAGCGGCCGUUGGAGGAUUGGGUAGUUGGUGGGAUAAAAGCUUACCAAGCCGAGGAUCUGUAGCUGGUCUGAGAGGACGAUCAGCCACACUGGGACUGAGACACGGCACAGACUCCUACGGGAGGCAGCAGUGGGGAAUUUUGGACAAUGGGCGAAAGCCUGAUCCAGCAAUGCCGCGUGCAGGAUGAAGGCCUUCGGGUUGUAAACUGCUUUUGUACGGAACGAAAAGCCCCGGGUUAAUACCCUGGGGUCAUGACGGUACCGUAAGAAUAAGCACCGGCUAACUACGUGCCAGCCGCCGCCGUAA
rnacentral:rRNA from 1 species